UACGUAGGGUGCAAGCGUUGUCCGGAAUUAUUGGGCGUAAAGAGCUUGUAGGCGGUUUGUCGCGUCUGCUGUGAAAUUUCGGGGCUCAACCCCGAACUUGCAGUGGGUACGGGCAGACUAGAGUGUGGUAGGGGGAGACUGGAAUUCCUGGUGUAGCGGUGAAAUGCGCAGAUAUCAGGAGGAACACCGGUGGCGAAAGCGGCCAGCUAGACCAGUUCUGACACUGAGGCGCGACAGCGUGGGGAGCAAACAGG
rnacentral:rRNA from 1 species